rnacentral:rRNA from 1 species
CAGCCGCCACGGGAAUACGAAGGGUGCAAGCGCUAAUCGGAAUUACUGGGCGUAAAGCGUGCGUAGGCGGUGAGUUAAGUCUGCUGUGAAAUCCCCGGGCUCAACCUGGGAAUGGCAGUGGAUACUGGCUCGCUAGAGUGUGUCAGAGGAUGGUGGAAUUCCCGGUGUAGCGGUGAAAUGCGUAGAGAUCGGGAGGAACAUCAGUGGCGAAGGCGGCCAUCUGGGACAACACUGACGCUGAGGCACGAAAGCGUGGGGAGCAAACAGGAUUAGAUACCCGCGUAGUCCCUGUCUCUUAUCA